rnacentral:rRNA from 1 species
CCUACGGGUGGCUGCAGUGAGGAAUAUUGGUCAAUGGGCGCGAGCCUGAACCAGCCAAGUAGCGUGAAGGAUGACUGCCCUACGGGUUGUAAACUUCUUUUAUCAAGGAAUAAAGUGAGGCACGUGUGCCUUUUUGUAUGUACUUUAUGAAUAAGAAUCGGCUAACUCCGUGCCAGCAGCCGCGGUAAUACGGAGGAUCCGAGCGUUAUCCGGAUUUAUUGGGUUUAAAGGGAGCGUAGAUGGGUUGUUAAGUCAGUUGUGAAAGUUUGCGGCUCAACCGUAAAAUUGCAAUUGAUACUGGCAGCCUUGAGUAGAGUUGAGGUAGGCGGAAUGCGUGGUGUAGCGGUGAAAUGCUUAGAUAUCACGAAGAACUCCGAUUGCGAAGGCAGCGUACUAAACUGACACUGACGUUGAUGCUCGAAAGUGUGGGUAUCAAACAGGAUUAGAUACCCGGGUAGUC